rnacentral:lncRNA from 1 species
UCAGCCUUAUGCUUCUGCCUGAAAUGGUUCCAGAUGUGGGGCCUGCAGAAAAGGCAGGGUGAAGGUUCAGCACAAAGCUAGGUUUCCUCCUGGAGGUUGCCCUAGGGGAGGCCCAAGCCCCUCCCACCCCUGGCACCUGGUCAGUAAAUGAGAGCAGAACAAGGCCACUGAUGGGAUGAUGGUUCAGGGAAAGAGUCUGUCAAGAGCCUGGGGAAGAGGAACCCUUGUGGGGCCUGGGUGUCUGGGGCAAGAGGGAGGCUGAAGCCCAUUCUGGGUUUGCAUUCCUCACUCUAUCCAGCCUUGCUGGAUCUGAGGCCUGGGGCAACUUCCAGGGUGGGGUUCUCCAGGCUGAGCAAGGAGGCCCAGGACUGAGCGAUUUAGAUCCCUCCUACUACUCCUCAAAGAAAUGCCAUUAUAGAUGGGGGAAACUAAGCCCAGGGCUCCAAAUUGGCUCCUGACUAAUGGUUCCUGUGCAGGCCUCUCCCAUGGGGAUCCUUAUUCAGGGCCCCAAAUGUUCCUGGGGGCAUGGCAGGGUCUGGAUAUCACUGUGGCUUGGGUAGAGGAGGGACAGGUGAGACAUGAUGCUGGUCUAGAGAUACAUCCAGGUGGUUCAGCUCUGGGUAUGAAUGAAGAUGAGGCAGAGCCCAGCCUAGCUCUGGGAAAAUCUCAGCUCCUACUCCACAGUCUUCUGGGACUCAAGACAGCACCUCCUGCCUGAGAGGGGGGCGGAGGUGGCCAGUAUCCUUGGGAUGGUUCACAAACUCCUCUCCCCACCCCAAGCUCCCUUCUGCCAGCUACUCUUGGUUCCCUACUUAGAUAUUUCUUUGGCAUCUACUGUGUGCUGGCCCUAGGGGCACAGCAGCCUGGGGUUCAGAGAGUGCCCAGGCAGAUGGGGAGGCA